rnacentral:lncRNA from 1 species
UGGUGACACUGUUGCAUAUGUAAAUCAGGUGCAAUGACACCUGUUGCAUAUGUAAAUCAGGUGCAAUGACACCUGUUGCAUAUGUAAAGCAGGUGUAAUGACACCUGUUACAUCUAACACACCUUGUAAUCGCUUUGUAAAGUGUAGCCUGAAUCUACAGAGUGAAACAAUAGGCAUCCAUUUAUUUGUGUUUACACCCACAACACCAGUGGAGGUUUUGAUGGAUAGUACUUUCCAAUUCUGAUAAGUCCGAUCGCAGCAGGUCGGCAAUAUUGCUUCCCUUAAAACAGGUGCGCGUUGCUUUCUGCAAAUUGGAAUUAUCAUCUUCGCGACCAGUAGGUCUCAACCCUCAAAAUAAUGAUCUAUGAAAGUAAGUUUUCUUUCUCUACGGUUGAAUCCAUUAGAGUGGUCAGGUAAGGGCCACUCAUUGGAUUAUCUUCAUCUUGUAUGCAAGAUGCUUUGCAGCAUGUUAGGCCAAGAGACUAAAACUAAGUUUUCAUUUUGUCUGAUUGUAUCAUUAUAGCAGUGGUAGGACCAUAAUCCAUUACAGUGGUCAGGUGAGGGCCACUAAUUGGAUUAUCUUUAUCAUCUGUACUUUGCAGCCAGUUAGGCCUACUGUAUAUACCUUAACUAAGUUUCUUUUUCUAUGAUUGUGUCAUUGAUUGUAUCAUUGUAUCAUUGAUUGUAUCAUAGAUAGUGGUCAGGUAAGGACCAUUAAUAUACGAUUUCUUUCUCUUUAUACCACAACACCGGUCACAAAUUUGACAAAGAAACCACUGUCCAGUGUACUAACAAAUCUAGCUCCGCUAGGAAGAUUCUUUUAUUUUCAGCAACUUGCAGUUAGAUUAGGAGGACCAGCAUGCAAACCAGAGUGCUCAUAUCAGGAACCGGAAGCAGGGAGGAGGAACAACGGAUGACUGACGAAGACCCUGCUUAUCGGGCAACCCAUUACUGAUUUCUCUGAGAUGACGGUCUGCAAGAUGAGAUGUCAUUCUGGACGAAGAUACGAUCACCAAUCCCAAGGAACCAGAAGGGAGGAGGACCGACGGAAGGACUGAUGACCUGCUUGCAGAGCAAGUCUUCACCAAUUCUUGAGAUUCCUCUUGGUUCGUGUUAGCAGCAUAGACGAUGAUGCAGUUCGCCAGGACACGAACACGAAUUUGAGCAACACUCGACUGAGUUUUACAACGGCCACCUCCUGAAACUUCCCAUACGUUUCUCUUAAAAAGCCGUAAAAUGAACAGCAUCUUUCUGAAACAUCGCGGCAAUAGUGCCCUUUGUUGUCAAGAAAAGCACGGACAAUUUUAAAUAAAAACUACUUGGCAUCCGUUGUUGGUUAAUUUCAUUAAAAGUGUCAUUUUUGGUAAAACAGAAUUAGUGAAUUUUUUUAAAGCAGUUUGUGCACACUUUUUUUUAAGCCGAAUUAUAAUAUUAGCGUUUGAGUACUGUAGUACUGUAUGGGGAGACGACGAGAAUUAUCAACAAAUGUUUUAAAAGAGUCGCAUGGAUGAUCCUGAAAAUGUACAUCAUCCUCCACUUCUUCAGCGGAUACGUUUCCCUAGACUAAACUGGGUAACAUUUUCCGAAAGAGUUAAGUCUAAAAAGGCUGGGGAGUUUUGCUUUCAAAAUCCUGAACAAAAUUACUGCUUUGUAAUUAUAACAACCUUUUCACACCACAGUUUUUUUUGCGUGAAAUAUGACCACAA